GUGAUCGGCCUGGAAGGCCAGUACCCUCGCAAGGCAAUGACCAGGGUUCGAAUCCCUGUCGGAGCA
rnacentral:tRNA from 1 species